AGACCGUGAUGAGGACACUUUCGCAAUAGCUCCUUGAACCUUUCCCAAGUUUCAUAUAAGGAUUCCCCAUCCUCUUGUGAAUAUGUAUUUUUCAGUCAU
rnacentral:snoRNA from 1 species